CUGUGACACACACACACCACACCUGCACCUCUUUCUAUCCACGUGGGUUUACAGACACUUGUGGUCUUAAAAGUGCCAAAACGCUGUGUUUUGCAGAGGCGGCGUCAAGCCAAACAUCUGUAGAAAUGAGUUUUUGUCCCUCCCUUUGUGUUUUUUUGUGUGUGGCGACGUACGGCUCGGAACCACAAAUGUCGACGCGGGCUCCUCGUGGCUCCUCUCUGAUGGAAAGCUUCUAAACGUUUGGCCGAUUCUUGUUGGCUCAUGACUUGAAAGAUGAGAUUCUCGAUUUGUCGUCUUUGGUUUAGGACUGAAAAGAUAAUUAAUAGCCUUGUGAUUGUUUUGAUACCACCCAAAGUGGCUUGUGUGUUGAUGGAACACUUUUGGCUUUUACAAAACAAGCUUCUGCAGCGGAUUUGUCACUGACUUUCUCAGGGUUGAAAAUCCAGCGUGUCGUCGGCUGGUCCUCAGUUCACGUGUCGUGAUAUGUUCGGGACAGCUCAAACGGGAUUCCCAUUUGUGGACAAGCUUCUUUCUCAAACUUGUCAUGGGUUUAAGAUCACAGAAAUGUCCUUCUACCGUGACCAUCAUGUAGCAAUGGGCAUUGCUUCAAUGCUUUUGACGCACAGCUUCUUCAUUUAGGACUGUCAAGAGUAGCUUUUACCGACGUGCGUGGUUUGAGACCUCCGAAGCUCUCCUUUGAUUGGUUGUCUUUGGUUCAUGACUCUGAAAGUGACUUCUAUGACAACCUUCAAGAGCCGCUGAUGGUUGAAGACCACUCAGAGUAGCGUGUAGACAUAUAUCAAUGGUCGUUGGUUUAGGCCGCUGAAACUCGCUUCUGCCUCAGUUGAUAAUAGUUCGAGAGCACAUAAACCGGCUUCUGAUAGAUGGUCUUUCGUCGUGGCUAACACAGCUAGCGUCAUUUUUGGUUUCAAGACAUUUGAAAGCAGCUUUUGAUGGAUGAUCUUUGUUGUCUAUAAAAAGCCCUUUCUGUAUCAGCCGUGUUGGGUUUUAAGACCUUUGAAACUACCUGCUGAUGGAUGGAUAGAUGGAUGGCUUAGGGUUGCUUUAUGACUUUAAAAAGUAGCUUCCAUAUCGACGGCCGCAGCUUUAAGACCUCAGAGACGACAGGAGCUCCUUGCCGAGCGUCUUUUGUUUAUGGAACACAGUAACCGAGCCGACGCGGAUGGUCACGCGGUCUCCUCGUGACGUUAUAGCCGCAACGCUAAUCAAUGAAAGAUUUGGCAGCGUAGCAUUUCUUGCCAUUUCCCUUCAGAAACGUGUCAAUCAAAUCAAUCUGGCGACUCAGUCGGUCAGCUCGUUUCACUCCGCCGUGUUUCUCAUUUGGUUGUCCUUUGAUGUUUUACACUUGUGGAAUGCAGUGACGCACUCCCAGCAGCAGAUCCGUUGAUUACAGGCGGCGGCGGCGGCGGUUGCCCGAGGCGACGGUGAGUAAGAGUCAAGGUUGCUAGGUAGCAGAUAAGAACACAAGAUCUCAUUAAUUGCUUCUCGCGGUGCGGUGCGGUGCAGUGGGCGAGAGUGCAGGAUGGCGGCCGUGGCUGUUGCUGCGGGAUGCCCGCCCGCACGUCAACAAUUUACUCUGCGUGCUUGUUUUGUAAAUUAGCAUGCUUUUUUUUUUCCAUAGCAACAAACUUGGAUUGUGUACAAAUCAUCCGUUUUGUAAUUCAAGGGGUUGGAUCGCACAUUCCGCAUCGGAGGACUCGGAAAAUGAAACACGUGGGGCCACCGGUGAUUUUGCUGACUUGGCGCUCAAAAAUCCCGCAUCAGAGUACGGCAAUUGACUCACUCGUAAGUGUUCAAGUGCUCGCCGGCUGGUGGAAAUGAUCAGGAGAUGCCCUCCCGUGGCUCGUAAUAACGGCACCAAAGCGCCCGCGGGUCCUCCUAGUUCAACGAUGAAAUCGUUCCCAUGAAAAAUACAUCAAAUGCUACAUUUUUUGGGCUCGUAAGCCAGUUUUACUUUGCGAGAUGAAAUUUGGUCGACAUGUCCGCCAUUUCCAGACCCACCAAAAAGUCUCAAGAAAUCCGAAAAGAUACGCCAAGGGUCAUUUCCCCGAAGAAAUUCUGCCAAAGUCAAACAACGACGUCACUUAGCGCAAACGCUAAACCUUUGAAGAGCCACCCUUUCAUUUCAAGAUUGUCCAAUUAAUAAGAUUCUCGCCGUUUAAUUCGGGCGACCGCUUCCCAUCGCCGCCAUCUUAAUAAGGGAGCCUCGUUACUAAUGAGCGCCGCAAUCUUUCUAUGAAUUGCUAAUCCAUUUAUCAGCUAAUCUACACUCGCCACGUAAGCGUCUCAGCCUAAUGAGUGGCUUUUGGUCGUGCUGUCGCCGCGCUCGUGCUUGACGUAUUUUCUCACGCCAGCUCAAGCUAUCGCCCUCGUCCAAACAAUAGUUCACCUUUUUCUUUUCAAAAAUGAUUCUUAUUUAUUUUCCCCAGCAACUACCUUUUCCUCAAUCAUUAAAAAAAAAAGACGUUUUUCUUGUCUUUUUAAUCUGAAUUUAUUCUCACAAUGAUGGUAGAAUAAAUAUUUAUUGGAUUUUUCGACGGCGAAUUUCCAAAGUGUACGCCGUUGGGGCAUUUCAACCCAUUGAGCUCGCAUGUUGACUUAAUGGAAUUUGCGUUAGCCGUUUGUCCAUAAUCCGGAUGGUUUUGCCUUAAUGAGGAUGCAUGGUUAUGACAUUAUAUUCACGCCAUGUGUGUUUGCUUUAAUGAGCCCUAAUUAAGAUCAAUUGUACGUAUGCAUAGUCAUUAUGUGGAUGCCAUUAAUGGAUUAUAUAGUCACGUGCACUGCUAAUCUACUAAUGUGCACAUUAAAGACGCUCGCGGCCAGGAGACGAAAGCAGCAAAGCCGUGCGGCCGUUUUUUCCCACUUGAACCGUCCUCAUGUUGUCGUGCAUGGCUAAAUGUACAAAACUCUAAGAACACUGCCAGGUUGUAUUGUGUCGAAAGCCUUGUACCUCGCCCCCUUUGACAUAACAUUCUCAUUUUUCCCCUUCAUCAAUCCUACAAAUUUGCCGCCAACACGUUAGCCGUGUGCAACGCAAGCAUUUGUCAUUGUUUUUGUUGAUGAAACACUCCUUUGAGUUGCAGUCGCUAUCUCGGCUAGCUUCAUCCUUCGCUAAAAUUGCUCGCUCCGGUGGCUACCUAUCACUGCCAGCUUCCGUCGCAAGCUAUCGUCACUACCUAUCAGCGCUAUCUUCCAUUGCUAGCUUCAGUCGCGAGCGAUUCUGGUUAGUUGUCAUCCGUCGGAUCAGAGCGGAGCCACGGCUAACUGAGCGAGCGCCCGUUUGGUUUCCUACUGACGUUUGGCUGCCGCCUCCACUUGAAAUCUGUGAAUUUUGUACAAAAAGAAAAUGUAGGAAGAUUUUUUCUUUUUUUUUUCUACCGAGCCUGUUGUGUAGCUCUCUGUGUUUUGUUUGGCAGAGUGCGGCGGGAAACGGGGCCUUCAAUUUUCUGUACGCAGUCGGGAAUUGUGCAAUGGCCAAUUGUAAUUUACUGUUAUUAUUCUGAUUAUUAUGAAGAGAAUUAGAGGUGGAGAAGUGAAAUAAAAUGUUAUAUUUGCAUGAUUUCCUGUAUUUUCACCAAUCAGAUUUCUAUACAUAUACACGAGUAAAUAUAUAUAUAUAUAUAUACACGAGCCACACGUACAGUAUAUACGUACUGUCGUGUAUUCUGUAUUCUGACAUACUGUGACUUUUGUCUGUCAAUAUAAAGAUGCACUUUUUCUAAAGUCUCUUUGUAAACUUGUGGCGUGCGGUGUGCAGUGUUUGGCCGGCGGCAAUGGAGACGAGGGCCAACAUCUGGCUUUUGACGCACGAGUCACUGGUGUAAUGCAAAAUUUGACAUUCAUCUUCAAAUCUAAAACCGGAAACUCUGCAAAACCAGCAAAGAACAUGUUGACAAGAUUUGGAUUUUAAGAUUAGAACUUACUGUUUGAUUGCUCUCAAGAAUUUGUCACUUCUUGUAAUAUUGACAAAAAGCAAAAAAUAUCGAUGCUAGCAUCAA